rnacentral:rRNA from 1 species
AGAUCCCUUGAAGAACACAAGGUUGAUAGGUCGGGGGUGUAAGCAUGGUAACAUGUUCAGCUGACCGAUACUAAUAGAUCGAGGGCUUGACCAA